AGGAUUAGGUUAAAAAUCAAAUAAUUUGGCGGUAUCUUAUCCUCAUAGAGGAACUUGACCUGUAAUCGAUAACCCACGUUUUAUCUUACUCCCAUUAAUGUUUGUAUACCGUUGUUGUUAGAUUACCUUGUAUAGCCCUUAAGUUUUCUUAAUAGACUGCUAGAGGUCUUUCUAUUGGCUUGUUCUUUUACUUCAAAUCAAGGUGCAGUUUAUGUGAGAGUUGAGUUGAGUUACUUUGUAUAAGAAUUGGAAGGUAGAAUGAAAUUUUACUUGAAAUAUGAUUUAUUAGUAAGUUUAUACUAACUAGAUUAGCUGAAAAGGGGUCUGAGAUAUGUACAAAUCGCCCGUCACUCUGGUUUUAACAUCAGAUAAGUCGUAACAAAGUAGAUGUAAGGGAACUUGCAUCUAGAUAA
rnacentral:rRNA from 1 species